GCGUCUGAUUAGCCAGUUGGCAGGGUAACGGCCUACCAAAGCGACGAUCAGUAGCCGGCCUGAGAGGGUGGACGGCCACAUUGGGACUGAGACACGGCCCAAACUCCUACGGGAGGCAGCAGUGGGGAAUAUUGCACAAUGGGGGAAACCCUGAUGCAGCAACGCCGCGUGAAGGAAGAAGGUCUUCGGAUUGUAAAGCUCUAUCAGCAGGGAAGAAAAUGACGGUACCUGACUAAGAAGCCCCGGCUAACUAC
rnacentral:rRNA from 1 species